rnacentral:rRNA from 1 species
CAACGUGAGAGUUUGAUCCUGGCUCAGAGCGAACGCUGGCGGCAGGCUUAACACAUGCAAGUCGAGCGGGCAUCCUUGUGGUGUCAGCGGCGGACGGGUGAGUAACGCGUGGGAA